GGCCGGAUAUGCAGAGAGCACCAGAUUCAUCUUGCUCCCAGAAAACUUGUACCAUAACCCCACUUGGAUAUUCUGCACAUUCCGUUCCUGGAAUCCACACAAACCUAGCUCCUACAGUGAGAGUAACCGACCUCCCCUCAGCUGUGGCAGCUUCUAGCUCUGCCUGCCUUGCGAUAUUCAAGAAGACUUCUUCAAGAGUUGUAAGUCCAAGAUGGAUGUCUACUAUGCCAUAUUCUCUUUCUCUAUCUUGAAGCUCCGCAAAAAAUUUCUGUAUUUAGGUCACAAACCUCGUGCGUCAGAUAUGCUUCUUAUUUUGCAGUUAUAUAGGAACCAGAAAAAGAUACUAAGCAAAUUACCGUCAAAAGCCCCUCUCUAUCAUGAGGAAUAACAAAAGUCAGAAAUGCUCUGUUCUCUU